GGUAGGGUAGCCGAGUGCCAGGCGGUGGGUUGUAGCCCCGAAGACAAAGGUUUAAGUCCUUUUCCUAUCA
rnacentral:tRNA from 1 species